UCAGGUUGGGCAUGGAACACAGAGCAUCUACGAAGUGAUGUGUAGAGGUUGAUGUCGGAAAAAUUACAUCCGAAAGCCAGAUAUUUUUGACCUGUAAGGUUGACGCCUUUGCAUUCAGUGUAGAAUAGA